rnacentral:rRNA from 1 species
ACUCCUACGGGAGGCAGCAGUGGGGAAUAUUGCACAAUGGGCGCAAGCCUGAUGCAGCCAUGCCGCGUGUGUGAAGAAGGCCUUCGGGUUGUAAAGCACUUUCAGUCGUGAGGAAGGUGUGUAGUUAAUUAGCUGCAUUAUUUGACGUUAGCGACAGAAGAAGCACCGGCUAACUCCGUGCCAGCAGCCGCGGUAAUACGGAGGGUGCGAGCGUUAAUCGGAAUUACUGGGCGUAAAGCGCAUGCAGGUGGUUUGUUAAGUCAGAUGUGAAAGCCCGGGGCUCAACCUCGGAAUUGCAUUUGAAACUGGCAGACUAGAGUACUGUAGAGGGGGGUAGAAUUUCAGGUGUAGCGGUGAAAUGCGUAGAGAUCUGAAGGAAUACCGGUGGCGAAGGCGGCCCCCUGGACAGAUACUGACACUCAGAUGCGAAAGCGUGGGGAGCAAACAGGAUUAGAUACCCUGGUAGCUACGAGU